UAGGUCUGUGAGAUGAAAACUAUUUUCAUAAUGGUACUAAGAUAUUGUUUCCCUUUCUCACUCUGAUUCUCUCUCAAGGGUACAGUGGUGCUCUCCAGAAUCUCCAUGAUAUGUAAGAUCGCAAACACUGAAUACAGCAGCUAAUAAGAGCCCUUGGAGCAUGCUGUGUUUACUAUCCCAGCUGUUACUGAGGCAUUCAAUGACACCCACUUUUCUUUGGUUGUUCACCUGCCAAUGACAGGGCCUAGACUGAGAGCAUGCUCUUCCAGAUGUGGCACGUGCUUCUGGCAGGUGUCCAAGGAUGCACCAUUAUGCUCCAGCGUGGGGCCUGACACAGGGCUCAAUACCAUGACCUUGGGAUCAUGACCUGAAGCGAAAUAAGAGUCGGGCGCUCAAUGGACUGAACUACCCAGGCACCCCAAGAAUUUGCAUUUCUGACGAGCAUCAUGUGAUGCUAAUGCCACCCGUCCAUAAACCACACUUUGAGAACCCACCCUGGAUUAAGACAAGGGACAACAAAGUGUUUGUCCUGCAUUGUCUGCCCCAUUUUUUGUCCUGGAAAUGCCAUCCCUUAUCUAGCAGCCUGACGCUACUGCUCAUCAAAGCCCAAAGCUCAUGAAUCAUCUUUAUGCUCCAGGAUCUUCACAUGAUAUUUAGCAACAUAAAAAAGUUUGAAAAUGUAAAUGUCCGGUAUCUCUUCUGGGAGGUCCCUGAUUUGUAGGACAAUUUAUGUCCCCAUGCUUUAUACAAACGCAGGAAACAAGGGACGGUCGGUCCCACCUUGGCAUUAUCUGACAGACUUACAGGUAGUGGUUACGAUUUGAAAUGGUACCCAACAAAAUCAAGCACUGACUGUUCUUGCAACGGUUUUGGUUUUUUGUUUGUUUAGUGCCUGAUUCUGAAGGGGAAAACAAAAAUGAGUAAGACGUGGUCCCUGCGCAAAGACACCUGAAAGUUUACUGGAAGAAAUAAGCCGUGUAAAAAUAGGUUUAUUGCAGGACGAGGAGCACAGAGCAGGAACAGAACACCAGACCUGGAAGCAAAACACCCCAUGCCUAUCGAAGCUUUGCUGCUGACUAAUUGUGUGACGGUAGGGCAAGUCCCUGCGCCUGUGUGUGCCGACAGACUCCGGGAUCCGUAUCUGAUAAAUACACAGACCACAGUGACUCAUGCUGAGAAAAGAUGAAGUUGGCUCGUGUCAAAGGUAUAGAAAAGGCUGCAUGAGCGGGGAUGUGUAGAACUGGAACUGGAGGAUUAGCUCAGCGUGUUUCCGACGUGUGGGGCCCGUGGACGACAGUGCUGUGCCAGAGAGGUAUGCUAGAUAGCUGUCAGAAUCCGAUUUUACUACCACCGUGUUCCUGCCUUCCUCUAAUAACGUGAGGAGAGAUUCUAACAUUCAAAGACAUUCAGAGAUGUUUCCUGUACAGGGACUUGGUCAAUCUGAAGACUCCAAGGAUGUUUGCACAGUUAGGAGUGUGUCUAAGCGAGGCCCCAUGGUACUGCUGUCUAAAUCAUACAUGUGGCAGGAUUCCCAAGGAUGUGAGUAAAAAUAAGAAGGAAUGUGUCUACUGGGAAUGCAUCUACUGUGUGAUGUGUUGCAUGUGCAAAGUGUCCUCCUAACCAAGGGUGUCGUUUUCCCUUAGAAAUCCCAACUCCCUGAACCGGGAAAGUACUGCCCUAUACAGGCACUUGGACCCCUUUCCUCCAGACAGUGGUCCUGCCUCCUCUUACUGCUUCUCAGACUUCAACCUGGUGACCUUGUUAAA